rnacentral:rRNA from 1 species
GGUUAAGCGAAUAAGCGUACACGGUGGAUGCCUAGGCAAUCAGAGGCGAUGAAGGACGUGCUAAUCUGCGAAAAGCGUCGGUAAGGUGAUAUGAACCGUUAUACCCGACGAUAUCCGAAUGGGGAAACCCAGUAUCCAAUGGAUACUAUCAUUAACUGAAUCCAUAGGUUAAUGAGGCGAACCGGGAGAACUGAAACAUCUCAGUACCCCGAGGAAAAGAAAUCAACCGAGAUUCCCCUAGUAGCGGCGAGCGAACGGGGAGCAGCCCAGAGUCUUAAUCAAUAACAGUGUCAGGAGAACGGUCUGGAAAGUCCGGCAGUAAAGGGUGAUAGCCCCGUAUCUGAAGAUGCUGUUGUUGUGAACUCGACGAGUAGGGCGGGACACGUGUUAUCCUGUCUGAAUAUGGGGGGACCAUCCUCCAAGGCUAAAUACUCCUGAUUGACCGAUAGUGAACCAGUACCGUGAGGGAAAGGCGAAAAGAACCCCGGCGAGGGGAGUGAAAAAGAACCUGAAACCGUGUACGUACAAGCAGUAGGAGCCUCUUUAUGGGGUGACUGCGUACCUUUUGUAUAAUGGGUCAGCGACUUAUAUUCUGUAGCAAGGUUAACCGUAUAGGGGAGCCGUAGGGAAACCGAGUCUUAACUGGGCGAAUGAGUUGCAGGGUAUAGACCCGAAACCCGGUGAUCUAUCCAUGGGCAGGUUGAAGGUUGGGUAACACUAACUGGAGGACCGAACCGACUAAUGUUGAAAAAUUAGCGGAUGACUUGUGGAUGGGGGUGAAAGGCCAAUCAAACCGGGAGAUAGCUGGUUCUCCCCGAAAGCUAUUUAGGUAGCGCCUCGUGAACUCAUCUUCGGGGGUAGAGCACUGUUUCGACUAGGGGGUCAUCCCGACUUACCAACUCGAUGCAAACUGCGAAUACCGAAGAAUGUUAUCACGGGAGACACACGGCGGGUGCUAACGUCCGUCGUGAAGAGGGAAACAACCCAGACCGCCAGCUAAGGUCCCAAAGUCAUGGUUAAGUGGGAAACGAAGUGGGAAGGCUCAGACAGCCAGGAUGUUGGCUUAGAAGCAGCCAUCAUUUAAAGAAAGCGUAAUAGCUCACUGGUCGAGUCGGCCCGCGCGGAAGAUGUAACGGGGCUAAACCAUGCACCGAAGCUGCGGCAGCGACACAAAGUGUUGUUGGGUAGGGGAGCGUUCUGUAAGCCUGCGAAGGUGUACUGUGAGGUAUGCUGGAGGUAUCAGAAGUGCGAAUGCUGACAUAAGUAACGAUAAUGCGGGUGAAAAACCCGCACGCCGGAAGACCAAGGGUUCCUGUCCAACGUUAAUCGGGGCAGGGUGAGUCGACCCCUAAGGCGAGGCUGAAAAGCGUAGUCGAUGGGAAACGGGUUAAUAUUCCCGUACUGGUGGUAACUGCGAUGGGGGAACGGAGAAGGCUAGGUUGUCCGGGCGACGGUCGUCCCGGUUCAAGCAGGUAGGCAGAGUGAUUAGGCAAAUCCGGUCACUUAAUGCUGAGAUGUGAUGACGAACCACCAAGGUGGUGAAGCAAUUGAUGCCCCGCUUCCAGGAAAAGCCUCUAAGCUUCAGGUUACCAACAAUCGUACCCCAAACCGACACAGGUGGUCAGGUAGAGAAUACUCAGGCGCUUGAGAGAACUCGGGUGAAGGAACUAGGCAAAAUGGUGCCGUAACUUCGGGAGAAGGCACGCUGGCGGUAGGUAAAGUCCCUUGCGGACGGCGCUGAAGCCAGUCGAAGAUACCAGCUGGCUGCAACUGUUUAUUAAAAACACAGCACUGUGCAAACACGAAAGUGGACGUAUACGGUGUGACGCCUGCCCGGUGCUGGAAGGUUAAUUGAUGGGGUCAGCCGUAAGGCGAAGCUCCUGAUCGAAGCCCCAGUAAACGGCGGCCGUAACUAUAACGGUCCUAAGGUAGCGAAAUUCCUUGUCGGGUAAGUUCCGACCUGCACGAAUGGCGUAAUGAUGGCCAGGCUGUCUCCACCCGAGACUCAGUGAAAUUGAACUCGCUGUGAAGAUGCAGUGUACCCGCGGCAAGACGGAAAGACCCCGUGAACCUUUACUAUAGCUUGACACUGAACAUUGAGCCUUGAUGUGUAGGAUAGGUGGGAGGCUUUGAAGUGUGGACGCCAGUCUGCAUGGAGCCAACCUUGAAAUACCACCCUUUAACGUUUGAUGUUCUAACCUAGGCCCAUAAACUGGGUCGGGGACCGUGUCUGGUGGGUAGUUUGACUGGGGCGGUCUCCUCCUAAAGAGUAACGGAGGAGCACGAAGGUUGGCUAAGCAUGGUCGGACAUCAUGCGGUUAGUGCAAAGGCAUAAGCCAGCUUGACUGCGAGAGUGACGGCUCGAGCAGGUACGAAAGUAGGUCUUAGUGAUCCGGUGGUUCUGAAUGGAAGGGCCAUCGCUCAACGGAUAAAAGGUACUCCGGGGAUAACAGGCUGAUACCGCCCAAGAGUUCAUAUCGACGGCGGUGUUUGGCACCUCGAUGUCGGCUCAUCACAUCCUGGGGCUGAAGUAGGUCCCAAGGGUAUGGCUGUUCGCCAUUUAAAGUGGUACGCGAGCUGGGUUUAGAACGUCGUGAGACAGUUCGGUCCCUAUCUGCCGUGGGCGUUGGAAGAUUGAGAGGGGUUGCUCCUAGUACGAGAGGACCGGAGUGAACGCACCACUGGUGUUCGGGUUGUCAUGCCAAUGGCAUUGCCCGGUAGCUAAGUGCGGAAGAGAUAACCGCUGAAAGCAUCUAAGCGGGAAACUUGCCUCGAGAUGAGUCUUCCCUGUCGCUUUAAGCGACCUAAAGGAACGUUUAAGACUAAGACGUUGAUAGGCUGGGUGUGUAAGCGUAGCGAUACGUUGAGCUAACCAGUACUAAUGAACCGUGAGGCUUAACCUG